rfam:Bathymodiolus thermophilus thioautotrophic gill symbiont strain BAT/CrabSpa'14 BATSymA_Scaffold3, whole genome shotgun sequence.
UGCGGGGUGGAGCAGUUCGGUAGCUCGUCGGGCUCAUAACCCGAAGGUCAUAGGUUCAAAUCCUGUCCCCGCUA